ACGCUGGCGGCGUGCCUAAUACAUGCAAGUAGAACGCUGAAGGAGGAGCUUGCUUCUCCGGAUGAGUUGCGAACGGGUGAGUAACGCGUAGGUAACCUGCCUGGUAGCGGGGGAUAACUAUUGGAAACGAUAGCUAAUACCGCAUAAGAGUAGAUGUUGCAUGACAUUUGCUUAAAAGGUGCAAUUGCAUCACUACCAGAUGGACCUGCGUUGUAUUAGCAAGUUGGUGGGGUAACGGCUCACCAAGGCGACGAUACAUAGCCGACCUGAGAGGGUGAUCGGCCACACUGGGACUGAGACACGGCCCAGACUCCUACGGGAGGCAGCAGUAGGGAAUCUUCGGCAAUGGACGGAAGUCUGACCGAGCAACGCCGCGUGAGUGAAGAAGGUUUUCGGAUCGUAAAGCUCUGUUGUAAGGGAAGAACGAGUGUGAGAGUGGAAAGUUCACACUGUGACGGUAUCUUACAGAAAGGGACGGCUAACUACGUGCCAGCAGCCGCGGUAAUACGUAGGUCCCGAGCGUUGUCCGGAUUUAUUGGGCGUAAAGCGAGCGCAGGCGGUUAGAUAAGUCUGAAGUUAAAGGCUGUGGCUUAACCAUAGUACGCUUUGGAAACUGUUUAACUUGAGUGCAAGAGGGGAGAGUGGAAUUCCAUGUGUAGCGGUGAAAUGCGUAGAUAUAUGGAGGAACACCGGUGGCGAAAGCGGCUCUCUGGCUUGUAACUGACGCUGAGGCUCGAAAGCGUGGGGAGCAAACAGGAUUAGAUGCCCUGGUAGUCCACGCCGUAAACGAUGAGUGCUAGGUGUUAGACCCUUUCCGGGGUUUAGUGCCGCAGCUAACGCAUUAAGCACUCCGCCUGGGGAGUACGACCGCAAGGUUGAAACUCAAAGGAAUUGACGGGGGCCCGCACAAGCGG
rnacentral:rRNA from 1 species